rnacentral:lncRNA from 1 species
CUCAACUUCUGUUUUCCUACCUGUAAAAUGGGUGCAAUAAUAUGUGCUGAAGAGAUCUGUGAUGAGAAUUAUUCUCAGAAGGAAUCAUUUUCUUUCCACCUACAAUGUUAGAUCCACCUGAAUGAAAUACGCCUUUCAUUGCGUCCUGAGAAGACGGAAGAAUCAUAAAAAGCCUUCAGAAGCCCUUGAGGAAUUUUGAGGGCAGUAAAAGCAAAGACUGUAAACCGAAGAAAAAUACACAAAGAUGUAAGAGCAGUAAGAGCAAAGUGGGGACAAGGGAUAUUGAGUAUCUGAAGGGAAAAAUAAGAAGCAUAGCCUAUCCUGGAAAAGAAAAGAAACGUCAUGGUAAAAAAACAACUGCGGUUUUUGUGAACACCUACUACGGUAAGGAACAGGCCAGCCAUAGCCCACACCCAGGUGGCUGACAAGAGCUCGCCAGAUCACAGGGCCACCUUCCUGCCUGAGAGCUGGAUGCCCUCUGCAUCUUCCUGGGCUUUACAGCACAUGGGAUCUGUUUACAUGUGGUCUCCGCAGACUCGUGUCAAGAUCCUAAGUCAGUGAAUCCCGAGGGAAGCAAAAGGCAGGGGUGGAAGCAUGGUAAGGAGGUGUAAACACCCUUUUGUAAGCCCCAUGGAGGGGUAUAGGCUUCAACAGGGAGCAGUUUAAGAUACUUUGGAGAUUGACUGUUUGGGGUUAAGUGUUGGCUCCACUACUUAUACUCAUGUGGUUUUAGAUGCUUUUCUUAAUCUCUCUGUGCUCUGGUUUCUGUAAAAUAGUAAUAAGUAUCCUAUUUAGUUAUUUUGAGGACUAAAUAGAUAAUUCCAGCCCUCCAUAUCCCUGGGUUUCUCAUUUGUAAAUUCAACCAACUGUGGGCCAAAAAUAUAUGGAAAAAAAUGGAACGUGUACUCAACAUGUACAGACAUUUUUCUUGUCAUUAUUCUCUAAGCAAUGUAGUAUUCAGCACUAUUUACAUAGCAUUUGCAGUAUAUUAGGUAUUAUAAGUAGCCUAGAGAUAAUUUAAAGGAUGUGGGAAGAUGUAUGUAGGUUACAUGCAAAUAGUACACCAUUUUAUAUAAGGGACUUGAGAAUUUUGGUAACUGAAGGGGCUCCUGGAACCAAUUUCCCAUAGAUACAGAAAAAUGACUGCAUAUGUAAAAGACUUAGCAGUGAGCCUUUUAUAAAUGGUUGCAUUAGUAUUAAUAAAGAAGUAAAUAACACCUAUAAAUAGUUACCCAGGGUUUCCCGGAUUACAGCUGCUAUGGUCUGAAUGUUUAAGUGCUCCCAGAAUUUAUAUGUUGAAACCUAGUCACCAGUGCUAUAAUAUUAAGAAAUGGGGCUUUGGGAGGUGAUUGGGAAUGGCAUUAAUAGCACAGGAACAGAAAACCAAACAUGUUCUCAUUUGUAAGUGGGAGCUGAACAAUGAGAACACAUGGACACAGGGAGGGGAACAACACAUACUGGGGCCUGUCAUGGGGAGGGGAGGAGGGAGGAACAGCAUUAGGAAAAAUAGCUAAUGCAUGCUGGGCUUAAUAUUUUGGUGAUGGGUCUAUAGGUGUAGCAAACCACCAUGGCACAUGUUUACCUAUGUAACAAACCUGCACAUUCUGAACAUGGACCUCGGAACUUAAAAAAAGAAGAUAAAAGGCUUGAGCGAGCCUGUUUGCCCCUUCCACCAUGCGAGGACACAUACAAGGCACCAUCUAUGAGGAACGAGCUCCCAACGAGCUCCCAACAGAUGCUGAUUUUGCUGGUGUCUCGAUCUUGGACAACCUCCAGAAUUGGGCUUGGGAGGGCAAGAGUAGGUGUCAUAAGUAGCUUUGACCUUGAGAAGUCUGGAGGUCACUUUAUAUGCUGCCAAAGCACCACUGUCUACUAAGUUUUUGAGGAAACCAUAUUGCUAGAGAAACUGCAAGCCUGAGCAGCCUCCAAUUGUUGAAGACUUACAUCCAUCUUGGACCUCCAAACAUUCAUAAGCAGGAAGCAGGCCUCAAAAACUAUGGCCCCCAAAUGAGGGCUUGUUCCCCAACCCCCACUUUAGACAUGGAGAAGAAGAAUAAUGGACAAGGAGGCUCCUCCCAGAAGGAUCCAAGGACCCCUGAGGUUGGUGGACAAUGGACUUCCAGCACAGAUUGGAAUCAGAACACAAUCAAGGACACUGUCUCUCCAAUAGAAACUCUUCCUAUGUCUGCCCAGAGUAAUUCCUUAACUGUGAUGGACAAAGAGCUGUGGCAUCAUUGCUUUCCAUUUUUUGAAUGAAAGUUAUGGUGCAGUAAUCCUUUCCCUGCUCCAGCAGGUGAGGGGGUGGCAGAGAGGGGCCAAUAAUUUGUCAUUUUGUUCCUAGAUUGCCAGACCAAGAGGAGCUAUGUCUUGGUCUGCAAAAAAGAACCAGACAUUGCCACAAAUCCUGGGCUUGAGCUGAAUGCAGGGACUGGUGGGUUUCUCUGUUGUGUCCCUUGGAGAGGGAGUGAAGACUUCUUAUGCAGUGCCUCUCAACAUAUUCUAACCUUCCUGCCUGCUAGGCUUGCCAUGUGUUGUGUUCCAGACAGUAAAAUUUAAGCAGAAGUUCUGACUUUCUUACUGCUGGGCUAAGGUAGUUACGUACUAGUGUACUAGUGUGUCUCCCCACAAUGAACCUCCCACCUUCUUCCCACAAAGCCCAAGGGAUAAAAUUCAGGGCAAAUUAGAAUCCAAAAGAAGGAGCCACAAAGUGGAAGAAACCUGGAUGCCUGAGUCACUAUGUGGGGAAAACACCAACUAAAAAGCUUUAUGUGAUCCACAUUUGAUAUGAGUGAGAAAUAAAUUUUUGAUUGUUUUAGGCCAUUGAUAUUUUGAGAUUGCAACAACAGCUAGUAUAAGUUAGCCCAAUGCUUUAGGAAAACGUCUAUUUGUUUAUCUAAUCUAUGAAGAUCACUGACUCAUUACUCUGUUUUGUUUUCUUAAUGAACACAAUAUACCAUGUGGGUAAGAGAUAAGGGGAAGGGGUGGAGGGGGGAUUUGGAGCCAGAAGACAAGAAGUUCUCUCUUUGCCUAUUCAUGCGUAUUUAGUAAAUUAACAUUUCCAUGCUGGGUCAUGAUUAUUUUCCCUGACCCUGCCCAGAAGAAAGCAAUCUCCAACUGUAUACUCACUGGCAUUUUGCUUUCAGGGAUACCGUUUUGUAAUUGGGCUCGGUUCAGUCCUCAUGGUCUGAAGAGAAAAUGAUAUACCAUGCUUUAAUAAGAGAUGUUCUGUCUUUAGUGCAAGACCCAGCCCACUGUUUGUAAUAAACUCUGAAGUCUGUGCUUGACAAGUACUACUUACAUACAGAGCAUGUCGUGAAGUAUAACAGAGAAGAUGAAGCCUGGUAAAAUGACACAGUUUGCUUCUCUCUUCAACAAAGGAAACUCUGAUUCUGGUUUUAGAAGGGACCGGCACCUUCUCCUUUCCCUGCCAGAUUUUCCUUCUACCAAGACUGGGGUCCAACUGUGAGCCCUGUGCUUCAGGUCAGGAGAAAUUCAGUAUGUGAAAGCAUUUUGCAAUCCGUAAAGCUUAAAUAUGCAUGCACGUUGUGAGGCAAUAUGGUAUAAAGGAAAGCAGAGGUUUAGACGUCAGUCCCACUCAUUUUAAAUCCUGGGUCCACUGCCCUCUAGCUAGGUAAUUCUUGGAAUGUUUCUCAACUUCUCUGAUCUUCAGUUCCCUCCACUAUAAAAUAAGAUCUAUAAGACCUACUACUUAGGGUGGGAAUAAAAUCAAUAACAUGUGAAUACCUAGCUCAGUGUCUGGUACAUGUUGGUGCUCAAUAAAUGUGUAAUUCCUUCCUUUCCCUUUCCUACCCACAUGCUGUCCUCAGGGUAGAACACAUAGAUGAUUCUUUCUCGUGCCCUGCCUGCCUCAGUACAUUUCUGGAUGUACGGAUUGAGACUUCCUGACUUACGAUUGCAUAAACUCCACAGCAAGUAUCUUUGGCUGUGUUAGUGCAAAUCCCUUGAAUAAUGUCCCAGUUCUCCUCUACGGCAGACUCCGUUGGAUUAAGAAAGAAGGCAACAGAAUGGAAAGAGCAUUCAACUUGGUGUCAAGUCCUGGGUACAGAUCUCUUUUCCAGCCUGUGCACUGUUGGUUAAAUUAGAAAUCUCUCUAAACCCCAAUUUACUCAUAUGGAAAAUGUCAGUUAUAGCUUCCAUAAAAGAACUUCAUGACAUAAAAAAACCUAGCACAAAUAUAAGGUAUUUCAGUAUACUUCCAGUAUAUCUUUGCUUACUCUUAUUGUCCUAUGUGUUAAUCCUACUAAAAAGCCUUGUGUCCCAUGUGUCUUCUCCCACACCUACUGAGUUUGUAAGGCAAGGUAGGUGCUUUGGGCAGGCAUCCAUCCAUGGCAUCACUUCAUCUAUCUUUGCUCAUGUUCAAGAAUGGUUUGGUUUCUUUCAUGCGCGUCCGUGUGAAGAGACCACCAAACAGGCUUUGUGUGAGCAACAUGGCUGUUUAUUUCACCUGGGUGCAGGCGGGCUGAGUCCGAAAAGAGAGUCAGCGAAGGGAGAUGGGGCGGGGCCAUUUUAUAGGAUUUGGGAAGGUAAUGGAAAAUUACAGUCAAAGGGCGUUGUUCUCUGGU